AGAGUUUGAUCCUGGCUCAGAUUGAACGCUGAGGCUUAACACAUGCAAGUCGAGCGGUAGGGGGCUUCGGCCCCCGAGAGCGGCGCACGGGUGCGUAACGCGUAUGCAACCUGCCCUACACAGGGGAAUAGCCCGUCGAAAGGCGGAUUAAUGCCCCAUGGUUCCCGUCUGGGGCAUCCCGGGCGGGGUAAAGAGCUAUCGGUGUAGGAUGGGCAUGCGUGCCAUUAGCUGGACGGUGGGGUAACGGCCCACCGUGGCGACGAUGGCUAGGGGUUCUGAGAGGAAGGCCCCCCACACUGGGACUGAGACACGGCCCAGACUCCUACGGGAGGCAGCAGUGAGGAAUAUUGGUCAAUGGGCGGAAGCCUGAACCAGCCAUGCCGCGUGCGGGACGAAGGCGCUACGCGUCGUAAACCGCUUUUGUCCGGGGGUAACCGUGGGGACGCGUCCCCACCUGCAAGUACCGGACGAAUAAGGGUCGGCUAACUCCGUGCCAGCAGCCGCGGUAAUACGGAGGACCCGAGCGUUAUCCGGAUUCAUUGGGUUUAAAGGGUGCGCAGGCGGCCCGGUAAGUCAGCGGUGAAAGGCCCACGCUCCACGUGGGAGCUGCCGUUGAUACUGCCGGGCUGGAAUGUCAGCGAGGCGGGCGGAAUGCGCGGUGUAGCGGUGAAAUGCAUAGAUAUCGCGCAGAACGCCGAUUGGGGAGCCAGCUCGCCAGCUGACCAUUGACGCUGAGGCACGAAAGCGUGGGGAUCGAACAGGAUUAGAUACCCUGGUAGUCCACGCCGUAAACGAUGAUGGCUCGCUCUUGGCCCGCAGGGGUCAGGGGCUUAGCGAAAGCGUUAAGCCAUCCACCUGGGGAGUACGCCGGCAACGGUGAAACUCAAAGGAAUUGACGGGGGCCCGCACAAGCGGAGGAACAUGUGGUUUAAUUCGAUGAUACGCGAGGA
rnacentral:rRNA from 1 species